UACGGGGGGGAGCAAGCGUUGUUCGGAUUUACUGGGCGUAAAGGGCGCGUAGGCGGUCGUGACAAGUCACUUGUGAAAUCUCCGGGCUUAACUCGGAACGGUCAAGUGAUACUGUCGUGCUAGAGUACAGAAGGGGCAACUGGAAUUCUCGGUGUAGCGGUGAAAUGCGUAGAUAUCGAGAGGAACACCUGCGGCGAAGGCGGGUUGCUGGGCUGAUACUGACGCUGAGGCGCGAAAGCUAGGGGAGCGAACGGG
rnacentral:rRNA from 1 species